rnacentral:rRNA from 1 species
CAAUAGCGUAUAUUAAAGUUGUUGCGGUUAAAAAGCUCGUAGUUGGAUUUCUGUUGGGAACGACCGGUCCGCCCAUUGGGUGUGUAUCUGGCUUGUUCUCGGCAUCUUCUUGGUGAACGUUGCUGCACUUGACUGUGUGGAGCGCUACCCAGGACUUUUACUUUGAGGAAAUUAGAGUGUUUCAAGCAGGCAUAUGCCUUGAAUACAUCAGCAUGGAAUAAUAAGAUAGGACCUCGGUUCUAUUUUGUUGGUUUCUAGAGCUGAGGUAAUGAUUAAUAGGGAUAGUUGGGGGCAUUCGUAUUUAACUGUCAGAGGUGAAAUUCUUGGAUUUGUUAAAGACGGACUACUGCGAGAGCAUUUGCCAAGGAUGUUUUCAUUGA